GUUUUGCUACGGUGGGGAGACCCCGACGAGACGCGCCGUACCGGGUACGACAAGACGACGCACC
rnacentral:ncRNA from 1 species